UAUAUGUACCUAUAAAUCGAUAAAAUUGGAAUGAUACAAAGAAGAUUAGCAUGACCUUUGCACAAGAAUGAUGUGUAUGAAUUGAGAAAUGGGCCAGGUGGAC